GCAGGACAAGGUCCUUGGUCAGAGGCUUCCUCUUGGAAGCUCACUGCUGCAGCAGUCUGUGGGCUGUUGGCUGUGCAAGGUUGGGUGAAAUGUCUUUAGUAACACUUUGGAAGGCGCUGCCACUAUUGAGGCUAUGUUUUGCUGAGGGACAGUGAAAUGGAGAUUCAUGAAUCACUUUAUCUGAUUUAAAAUGCUUUCUCUUGCCCCCCAAGGUAAUCUUCUGUGUGUUGAAAUGUUGCCUAGGAAAAACAUAGGGGCAUAAUUCCUGUAUUUGUCACGUGGACACAGCCUCAAUGUGGAGAUCUCUAAAUGCAUGGCCAGAUUGUUGAGAUUCCUUGACAAGCAGUUGACUCAACUGCUUG